rnacentral:rRNA from 1 species
GAUGAACGCUGGCGGCGUGCCUAAUACAUGCAAGUCGAGCGAACGGACGAGAAGCUUGCUUCUCUGAUGUUAGCGGCGGACGGGUGAGUAACACGUGGAUAACCUACCUAUAAGACUGGGAUAACUUCGGGAAACCGGAGCUAAUACCGGAUAAUAUUAUGAACCGCAUGGUUCAAAAGUGAAAGACGGUCUUGCUGUCACUUAUAGAUGGAUCCGCGCUGCAUUAGCUAGUUGGUAAGGUAACGGCUUACCAAGGCAACGAGGCAUAGCCGACCUGAGAGGGUGAUAGGCCACACUGGAACUGAGACACGGUCCAGACUCCUAAGGGAGGCAGCAGUAGGGAAUCUUACGCAAUGGGCGAAAGCCUGACGGAGCAAGGCCGCGUGAGUGAUGAAGGUCUUCGGAGCGUAAAAAUCUGUUAUUAGGGAAAAACAUAUGUGGAAGUAAAUGUGCACAGCUUGACGGUACCGAAUCAGAAAGCCACGGCUAACUACGUG